UACGGAGGGUGCGAACGUUAAUCGGAAUCACUGGGCGUAAAGCGCGCGUAGGCGGUCUGUUAAGUGGGAUGUGAAAUCCCUCGGCUUAACCGGGGAACUGCGUCUGAUACUGGAUGGCUUGAGUUCGGGAGAGGGAUGCGGAAUUCCAGGUGUAGCGGUGAAAUGCGUAGAUAUCUGGAGGAACACCGGUGGCGAAGGCGGCAUCCUGGACCGAUACUGACGCUGAGGAGCGAAAGCCAGGGGAGCAAAGCGGG
rnacentral:rRNA from 1 species